rnacentral:rRNA from 1 species
CAUAACCUUUGUUGUCCGACUCUGUUGCCUCCGGGGCGACCCUGCCUUCGGGCGGGGGCUCCGGGUGGACACUUCAAACUCUUGCGUAACUUUGCAGUCUGAGUAAACUUAAUUAAUAAAUUAAAACUUUUAACAACGGAUCUCUUGUUUCUGGCAUCGAUGAAGAACGCAGCGAAAUGCGAUAAGUAAUGUGAAUUGCAGAAUUCAGUGAAUCAUCGAAUCUUUGAACGCACAUUGCGCCCCCUGGUAUUCCGGGGGGCAUGCCUGUUCGAGCGUCAUUUCACCACUCAAGCCUCGCUUGGUAUUGGGCAACGCGGUCCGCCGCGUGCCUCAAAUCGUCCGGCUGGGUCUUCUGUCCCCUAAGCGUUGUGAAACUAUUCGCUAAAGGGUGUUCGGGAGGCUACGCCGUAAACAACCCCAUUUCUAAGGUUGAA